rnacentral:rRNA from 1 species
GCCUACCUUAAGCCCAUCCAAACCCACAAACCAACCAUUAAAAUAACCCAAAACAUUAUGCUAAGACUAGUAGAUGCGAUCGAACAUCACUCAUAUGACGCAAUAGAGAAAGUACUGCAAAGGAAAACACCACAUACAACGCCAGCACAUUACAGCAGGGAUUAACCCACGUACCUUUUGCAUCACCGUCUAGCAAGAACACAGCAGACAAGAAGAAUCCAAGCCUGCCCCCCCGAAUGCAAGUGAGCUAUUUCCAAGCAGUCUUUAAGGACGAACUCGUUUCUGUAGCAAAAGAAUGAGAUGACUUGAAAAUAGAGGUGACAAGCCUAACGAACUUGCCGAUAGCUGGUUGCCUGAUCAAACGAAUCUAAGUUCGACCUUGGACACUAACCAUUCUCCACUAAUGACCCCACUGUCCAAGAGAUAAUCAACUGAGGCUCAGCUCAAUUGAUGUGGGAUACAGCCCAAAGUAGAGAAAAAGUAUAAGUACUAGCCAGUAGGCCCCAAAGCAGCCACCACAAAAUAUAACGUUACAGGAACAACCAAAAAAUUCAAAAAACCACAACAACUUCCUACUUCCACCCCAGGCUACUCUAUUCAAAAAUAGAAGAAACGAUGCUAGAAUUAGUAACAAGAGACACUCUCUAAGAACAAAACUUUAACACAUCAUCAGACCAGAAAAGACCGAACGACACAACCUUAUUCAACACAUUCAACCAACUGUAAACCCAACUCAGGAUUGUUCACAAGAAAGACCUACAGCCUAAAAAGGAACUCGGCAAACAACCUUUCCAACUGUUUAACAAAAACAUAGCCAUUAGCCACCCAAGUAUUAAAGGUACUGCCUGCCCAGUGAGGAACCCCUUAAACGGCCGCGAUAAUUCGUGCGAAGGUAGCGCAAUCACUUGUCCUUUAAAUAAGGACCUGUAUGAAUGGCCACAUGAGAAAGAAACUGUCUCUUUAGGCCAGUCAGUGAAAUUGAUCCCCCUGUACAAAAGCAGGAAUGACAAAGCAAGACAAAAAGACCCUGUGAAACUUAAAAUUAAUUGUCAACCUAUGACAGACACUUUUAGUUGGGCCAACUAUAGAGAAACAAAACCUCAAACCACAUCAUCAAGACCAACAAGUCUAAAUGAAUACACCACACCGACCCAGUACAACUGAUUAAAGAACCAAGCUACUCCAGGGAUAACAGCGCCACAUUCUUGAAGAGUCCAUAUCAACAAGAAUACCUACGACCUCGAUGUUGGAUCAGGAUAACCUGAUGGUGCAGAAGCUAUCAAGGGUUCGUUUGUUCAACGAUUAAUAAUCCUACGUGAUCUGAGUUCCGACCGGAGCAAUCCAGGUCGGUCUUUAUCUACUCGAACGCUUCAGCCAGUACGAAAGGAUCACUGAAGCAGGGUCCAUCUAACUUACACACCCUAUUAUCAUUAUACUGCACAUAACUCAAGUAUUAAAUACCAAGACACCAUUACAAGAAAAGUAAUUACUAAACCCAAACAAACU